rnacentral:rRNA from 1 species
CGUGUAGGCGGUUUUCCAAGUUGGGUGUGAAAGCCUUGGGCUUAACCCAAGAAAUGCACUCAGUACUGGAAGACUAGAGGACCGGAGAGGAUAGUGGAAUUCCCAGUGUAGUGGUGAAAUACGUAGAGAUUGGGAAGAACACCAGUGGCGAAGGCGGCUAUCUGGACGGUUUCUGACGCUAAGACGCGAAAGCGUGGGGAGCAACAG